rnacentral:rRNA from 1 species
UACAGAGGUCUCAAGCGUUGUUCGGAUUCAUUGGGCGUAAAGGGCGCGUAGGCUGCGGGGUAAGUCGGGUGUGAAAUCUCAGGGCUCAACCCUGAAACUGCACUCGAUACUGCUUUGCUUGAGGACUGGAGAGGAGACUGGAAUUCACGGUGUAGCAGUGAAAUGCGUAGAUAUCGUAAGGAAGACCAGUGGCGAAGGCGGGUCUCUGGACAGUUCCUGACGCUGAGGCACGAAGGCCAGGGGAGCAAACGGG